UUUUUUAUGGAGAGUUUGAUCCUGGCUCAGGAUGAACGCUGGCGGCGUGCCUAAUACAUGCAAGUCGAGCGAACAGACGAGGAGCUUGCUCCUCCGACGUUAGCGGCGGACGGGUGAGUAACACGUGGAUAACCUACCUAUAAGACUGGGAUAACUUCGGGAAACCGGAGCUAAUACCGGAUAAUAUGUUGAACCGCAUGGUUCAACAGUGAAAGACGGUCUUGCUGUCACUUAUAGAUGGAUCCGCGCCGCAUUAGCUAGUUGGUAAGGUAACGGCUUACCAAGGCAACGAUGCGUAGCCGACCUGAGAGGGUGAUCGGCCACACUGGAACUGAGACACGGUCCAGACUCCUACGGGAGGCAGCAGUAGGGAAUCUUCCGCAAUGGGCGAAAGCCUGACGGAGCAACGCCGCGUGAGUGAUGAAGGUCUUCGGAUCGUAAAACUCUGUUAUUAGGGAAGAACAAAUGUGUAAGUAACUAUGCACGUCUUGACGGUACCUAAUCAGAAAGCCACGGCUAACUACGUGCCAGCAGCCGCGGUAAUACGUAGGUGGCAAGCGUUAUCCGGAAUUAUUGGGCGUAAAGCGCGCGUAGGCGGUUUUUUAAGUCUGAUGUGAAAGCCCACGGCUCAACCGUGGAGGGUCAUUGGAAACUGGAAAACUUGAGUGCAGAAGAGGAAAGUGGAAUUCCAUGUGUAGCGGUGAAAUGCGCAGAGAUAUGGAGGAACACCAGUGGCGAAGGCGACUUUCUGGUCUGUAACUGACGCUGAUGUGCGAAAGCGUGGGGAUCAAACAGGAUUAGAUACCCUGGUAGUCCACGCCGUAAACGAUGAGUGCUAAGUGUUAGGGGGUUUCCGCCCCUUAGUGCUGCAGCUAACGCAUUAAGCACUCCGCCUGGGGAGUACGACCGCAAGGUUGAAACUCAAAGGAAUUGACGGGGACCCGCACAAGCGGUGGAGCAUGUGGUUUAAUUCGAAGCAACGCGAAGAACCUUACCAAAUCUUGACAUCCUCUGACCCCUCUAGAGAUAGAGUUUUCCCCUUCGGGGGACAGAGUGACAGGUGGUGCAUGGUUGUCGUCAGCUCGUGUCGUGAGAUGUUGGGUUAAGUCCCGCAACGAGCGCAACCCUUAAGCUUAGUUGCCAUCAUUAAGUUGGGCACUCUAAGUUGACUGCCGGUGACAAACCGGAGGAAGGUGGGGAUGACGUCAAAUCAUCAUGCCCCUUAUGAUUUGGGCUACACACGUGCUACAAUGGACAAUACAAAGGGUGGCGAAACCGCGAGGUCAAGCAAAUCCCAUAAAGUUGUUCUCAGUUCGGAUUGUAGUCUGCAACUCGACUACAUGAAGCUGGAAUCGCUAGUAAUCGUGGAUCAGCAUGCCACGGUGAAUACGUUCCCGGGUCUUGUACACACCGCCCGUCACACCACGAGAGUUUGUAACACCCGAAGCCGGUGGAGUAACCUUUUGGAGCUAGCCGUCGAAGGUGGGACAAAUGAUUGGGGUGAAGUCGUAACAAGGUAGCCGUAUCGGAAGGUGCGGCUGGAUCACCUCCUUU
rnacentral:rRNA from 1 species